rnacentral:rRNA from 1 species
AGCGAACGCUGGCGGCAGGCUUAACACAUGCAAGUCGAGCGGGCAUCUUCGGGUGUCAGCGGCGGGCGGGUGAGUAACGCGUGGGGACGUGCCUUCAGGUUCGGAAUGACUCGGGGAAACCUGGGCUAAGACCGGAUACGCCCUGUGGGGGAAAGGUGUACUGCCGGAAGAUCGGCCCGCGUCUGAUUAGCUAGUUGGUGGGGUAACGGCCUACCAAGGCGACGAUCAGUAGCUGGGCUGAGAGGAUGAUCAGCCACACUGGUACUGAGACACGGCCCAGACUCCUACGGGAGGCAGCAGUGGGGAAUAUUGGACAAUGGGGGCAACCCUGAUCCAGCCAUGCCGCGUGAGUGAUGAAGGCCUUAGGGUUGUAAAGCUCUUUUAUCCGAGACGAUAAUGACGGUACCGGAGGAAUAAGCCCCGGCUAACUUCGUGCCAGCAGCCGCGGUAA